UAGCCUGGCCUGAGAAGGGCACAUCGGCCACACUUGGCACUGAAACAUGGUCCAAGACUCCUACGGGAGGCAGCAGUGGGGAAUUUUGCGCAAUGGGGGAAACCCUGACGCAGCAACGCCGCGUGGAGGAUGAAGUAUCUCGGUACGUAAACUCCUUUCGAUGGGGAAGAUAAUGACGGUACCCAUAGAAGAAGCCCCGGCUAACUUCGUGCCAGCAGCCGCGGUAAUACGAGGGGGGCAAGCGUUGUUCGGAUUUAUUGGGCGUAAAGGGUGCGUAGGCGGUUUGGCAAGUCUUGUGUGAAAUCUAUGGGCUCAACCCAUAGCCUGCACGAGAAACUACCGGGCUUGAGUGAUGGAGAGGUGAGUGGAAUUUCCGGUGUAGCGGUGAAAU
rnacentral:rRNA from 1 species